GCGGCGCAUUAGCUAGUUGGUGAGGUAACGGCUCACCAAGGCGACGAUGCGUAGCCGACCUGAGAGGGUGAUCGGCCACACUGGGACUGAGACACGGCCCAGACUCCUACGGGAGGCAGCAGUAGGGAAUCUUCCGCAAUGGACGAAAGUCUGACGGAGCAACGCCGCGUGAGUGAUGAAGGUUUUCGGAUCGUAAAGCUCUGUUGUUAGGGAAGAACAAGUGCAAGAGUAACUGCUUGCACCUUGACGGUACCUAACCAGAAAGCCACGGCUAACUACGUGCCAGCAGCCGCGGUAAUACGUAGGUGGCAAGCGUUGUCCGGAAUUAUUGGGCGUAAAGGGCUCGCAGGCGGUUUCUUAAGUCUGAUGUGAAAGCCCCCGGCUCAACCGGGGAGGGUCAUUGGAAACUGGGAAACUUGAGUGCAGAAGAGGAGAGUGGAAUUCCACGUGUAGCGGUGAAAUGCGUAGAGAUGUGGAGGAACACCAGUGGCGAAGGCGACUCUCUGGUCUGUAACUGACGCUGAGGAGCGAAAGCGUGGGGAGCGAACAGGAUUAGAUACCCUGGUAGUCCACGCCGUAAACGAUGAGUGCUAAGUGUUAGGGGGUUUCCGCCCCUUAGUGCUGCAGCUAACGCAUUAAGCACUCCGCCUGGGGAGUACGGUCGCAAGACUGAAACUCAAAGGAAUUGACGGGGGCCCGCACAAGCGGUGGAGCAUGUGGUUUAAUUCGAAGCAACGCGAAGAACCUUACCAGGUCUUGACAUCCUCUGACAACCCUAGAGAUAGGGCUUUCCCUUCGGGGACAGAGUGACAGGUGGUGCAUGGUUGUCGUCAGCUCGUGUCGUGAGAUGUUGGGUUAAGUCCCGCAACGAGCGCAACCCUUGAUCUUAGUUGCCAGCAUUCAGUUGGGCACUCUAAGGUGACUGCCGGUGACAAACCGGAGGAAGGUGGGGAUGACGUCAAAUCAUCAUGCCCCUUAUGACCUGGGCUACACACGUGCUACAAUGGACAGAACAAAGGGCUGCGAGACCGCAAGGUUUAGCCAAUCCCACAAAUCUGUUCUCAGUUCGGAUCGCAGUCUGCAACUCGACUGCGUGAAGCUGGAAUCGCUAGUAAUCGCGGAUCAGCAUGCCGCGGUGAAUACGUUCCCG
rnacentral:rRNA from 1 species